rnacentral:rRNA from 1 species
AUUGAACGCUGGCGGCAGGCCUAACACAUGCAAGUCGAGCGGAGCGGCGGACGGGUGAGUAAUGCCUAGGAAUCUGCCUGGUCUUUGGGGAUAACGUCCGGACACGGGCGCUAAUCCCGCAUCCUAUCAGAUGAGCCUAGUUCGGAUUAGCUAGUUGGUGGGGUAAAGGCUUACCAAGGCGACGAUCCGUAACUGGUCUGAGAGGAUGAUCAGUCACACUGGAACUGAGACACGGUCCAGACUCCUACGGGAGGCAGCAGUGGGGAAUAUUGGACAAUGGGCGAAAGCCUGAUGCAGCCAUGCCGCGUGUGUGAAGAAGGUCUUCGGAUUGUAAAGCACUUUAAGUUGGGAGGCGGUACCAACAGAAUAAGCACCGGCUAACUUCGUGCCAGCAGCCGCGGUAAUAC